GUUGUAGAAAAGCGCCAAAAUAUCUGCGGGCGCUGCAACGCCAAGUUCUAUAGAAUUGAACCCAUAUCCACAGAUCCACUCGCACAAGUCUUCUCUUCUCCCGUACGAUUUACGAACCCUAGCCCUUUUUUCCGAUCCAUUCCUCUCUCUUUCUCUCUCUCUGCGAUCUCCGAAGAAGGUUUUGAUUUCUUCUAAAAAUGAGUGUGUUGGCUUCCAAUCGACCGCCACUCCGUGUUUUCCGGGAUCCGAGUUGCGUCGGCCGGCGAGAGCUCCUCAGCAAUAGCGUCUCCUCCAUCUCGUCGCGACGAGCCACCACGCCCGCUCCUGACCUCCACCUUGCCUCUAGAUCAACUGAAGAGCAGUCACUUGACCUCACGGAAAUAAUGUUCUCUCUUUUUCCAUUCACUACCCGACGGGUGCUGUUUUCUACCACAACUUUCUCACUAUUCUUGCACACAACAAAGCAUCUUUCAGUUGCACAUGCACUGGGCGACUCAUCUGUGACAACUGAAGAUGUUGCUUCUCGUGUUUUCUUAUCUGGGCCGCUCUUUCCUUCCGAAGAACGAACUGUGGAGAUUUUUGAGAAGAACACUUACUCUGUCGUUAACAUCUUUGAUGUAACACUACGACCACGACUUAAUGCAACUGGCUCUAUUGAGGUGCCUGAAGGAAACGGAUCGGGAGUUGUUUGGGACGAUAAUGGUCACAUUGUGACAAAUUAUCAUGUGGUUGGCAAUGCUCUUUCAAGGAGCCCAGGUCCCGGUCAAGUUGUUGCACGUGUGAACAUUCUCGUCGCUGAAGGAAGGUUACAGAAGACUUUUGAGGGUAGACUGGUUGGAGCAAAUCGUGCUAAAGACCUUGCUGUCUUGAAGGUGGAUGCGCCUGCAGAAUUUUUGAAGCCAAUUAAUUUGGGCCAGUCAUCAUCUUUAAGAGUAGGGCAGCAAUGCUUAGCAAUCGGAAAUCCUUUUGGAUUUGAUCAUACUCUUACUGUUGGAGUUAUUAGUGGGUUAAAUCGAGAUAUUUCUAGCAAAACUGGAGCAACAAUUGGUGGUGGCAUUCAGACAGAUGCAGCCAUUAACCCAGGGAAUAGUGGUGGCCCAUUGCUGGAUUCAAAAGGCAACAUGAUUGGGAUCAACACAGCAAUAUUCACGAACACAGGAGCUUCUGCGGGUGUAGGCUUUGCCAUCCCAUCUUCAACUGUACUAAGGAUUGUCCCUCAGCUAAUCCAGUUUGGAAAGGUUGUGCGUGCUGGUUUGAAUGCUGAGAUAGCUCCAGAUCCAAUUGCUAAUCAACUUAAUGUUCGAAAUGGAGCUCUUGUACUUCAGGUUCCUGGUAAUAGCAUUGCAGCCCAAGCAGGUCUCCUACCUACUACUAGAGGACUUGCUGGUAACAUCGUUCUUGGGGAUAUCAUUGUUGCGGUAAAUGAUAAACCUGUCCGAAGUAGAGCAGAUCUUUUAAAGGCUUUUGAAGAAUAUAAUGUUGGUGACACUGUUCUGCUGAAGAUUCAGAGAGGUAAUCAGAGUUUGGAGUUGCCUUUGGUUUUGGAGGAGACAGGCAUCUGAUGAGUCUAUCAUUGAUGAGGUUUUAGAUGAAUAACCCUCCACGCUGGACGAUCUUCCUGUGUCAUCUUGAGAAAAUAAGGAACUCAAGUAGAAGAUUGGUGGGUGUUGAAACUUGAAACACUACAUGCGUGUUAUGACACUCAGGGCAUCCAUCUCAUUGCAAAGUGAAAUGCUUAUGUAAGAUUCUUGGUAGUUCAAUUUUGAGUUGCUCAGAGGAUUCUAGCCCUGUCGAGUUACUUUGAUGUUUUUGUACUGUCAUAAUCCUUAUGGAAGAAUUUCUAUUUUUGUUUCUUCUAUUAGCAAAAGUGAUGAUAUAGAAUUUCUCUGUAUUGUAUAAAGAAAUCAUAUUAUUGAUUUGGCAUGGAGGAUUUUUUUUUCUUC